AGAGUUUGAUCCUGGCUCAGGACGAACGCUGGCGGCGUGCCUAAUACAUGCAAGUCGAGCGAGCUUGCCUAGAUGAUUUUAGUGCUUGCACUAAAUGAAACUAGAUACAAGCGAGCGGCGGACGGGUGAGUAACACGUGGGUAACCUGCCCAAGAGACUGGGAUAACACCUGGAAACAGAUGCUAAUACCGGAUAACAACACUAGACGCAUGUCUAGAGUUUGAAAGAUGGUUCUGCUAUCACUCUUGGAUGGACCUGCGGUGCAUUAGCUAGUUGGUAAGGUAACGGCUUACCAAGGCAAUGAUGCAUAGCCGAGUUGAGAGACUGAUCGGCCACAUUGGGACUGAGACACGGCCCAAACUCCUACGGGAGGCAGCAGUAGGGAAUCUUCCACAAUGGACGAAAGUCUGAUGGAGCAACGCCGCGUGAGUGAAGAAGGGUUUCGGCUCGUAAAGCUCUGUUGGUAGUGAAGAAAGAUAGAGGUAGUAACUGGCCUUUAUUUGACGGUAAUUACUUAGAAAGUCACGGCUAACUACGUGCCAGCAGCCGCGGUAAUACGUAGGUGGCAAGCGUUGUCCGGAUUUAUUGGGCGCAAAGCGAGUGCAGGCGGUUCAAUAAGUCUGAUGUGAAAGCCUUCGGCUCAACCGGAGAAUUGCAUCAGAAACUGUUGAACUUGAGUGCAGAAGAGGAGAGUGGAACUCCAUGUGUAGCGGUGGAAUGCGUAGAUAUAUGGAAGAACACCAGUGGCGAAGGCGGCCCUCUGGUCUGCAACUGACGCUGAGGCUCGAAAGCAUGGGUAGCGAACAGGAUUAGAUACCCUGGUAGUCCAUGCCGUAAACGAUGAGUGCUAAGUGUUGGGAGGUUUCCGCCUCUCAGUGCUGCAGCUCACGCAUUAAGCACUCCGCCUGGGGAGUA
rnacentral:rRNA from 1 species